AGUCCAGACUCCUACGGGAGGCAGCAGUGGGGAAUAUUGCACAAUGGGGGGAACCCUGAUGCAGCGACGCCGCGUGGGUGAAGGAGCACCUCGGUGCGUAAAGCCCUAUCGGCAGGGAAGAAACAGGCGGUACCUGACUAAGAAGCCCCGGCUAACUACGUGCCAGCAGCCGCGGUAAUACGUAGGGGGCAAGCGUUAUCCGGAUUCACUGGGUGUAAAGGGAGCGUAGACGGCCAUGCAAGCCUGGAGUGAAAGCCCGGGGCCCAACCCCGGGACUGCUCUGGGAACUGUGCGGCUGGAGUGCGGGAGGGGCAGGCGGAAUUCCUGGUGUAGCGGUGAAAUGCGUAGAUAUCGGGAGGAACACCGGCGGCGAAGGCGGCCUGCUGGACCGCGACUGACGUUGAGGCUCGAAAGCGUGGGGAGCAAACAGGAUUAGAUACCCGGGUA
rnacentral:rRNA from 1 species